rnacentral:rRNA from 1 species
GCGAGGCCGAAAGGCGUAGUCGAUGGGAAACAGGUUAAUAUUCCUGUACUUGGUGUUACUGCGAAGGGGGGACGGAGAAGGCUAUGUUAGCCGGGCGACGGUUGUCCCGGUUUAAGCAUGUAGGCUGGUUAUCCAGGCAAAUCCGGAUAAUCAAGGCUGAGGUGUGAUGACGAGGCACUACGGUGCUGAAGUAACAAAUGCCCUGCUUCCAGGAAAAGCCUCUAAGCAUCAGGUAACAUCAAAUCGUACCCCAAACCGACACAGGUGGUCAGGUAGAGAAUACCAAGGCGCUUGAGAGAACUCGGGUGAAGGAACUAGGCAAAAUGGUGCCGUAACUUCGGGAGAAGGCACGCUGGUGUGUAGGUGAAGUCCCUGCGGAUGGAGCUGAGACCAGUCGAAGAUACCAGCUGGCUGCAACUGUUUAUUAAAAACACAGCACUGUGCAAACACGAAAGUGGACGUAUACGGUGUGACGCCUGCCCGGUGUUGUGGUCAAGUUUUUUUGGACACGCCGAUCAGAUGGUAGGGUUAUGCACAGGCGGGCAACUGGGCGGCAGGGCUGGCCAGCGUUUCGUACUGUGCGGGUGAUCGGUAGCCAAGUUUUGAAUGCA